UAACCCAAAGCAACUUUAGAUUCUGAGGUCAAUAUGCGUUCAGCCUCGUCGAUGGUGGUAAUGUUGGAAAUACCAGGCCCUAUCUUCUUCUUGAUCCAGGUCACUAUGGCCUCCCUGAAUUGUCAAUGAUUAAAUUUUCAAUUAAACAAAGCCGGUACAUUCUAGUUUCUACAUUUUUACCAUGAUUUGGCUAAAAUCAAAUCGUGAAUUCAAUAGAUAAUCGAAAACCCCUAAUCCUAAUCAAAACUUACUUAUUUCUAGCUCCAGGGUAAGGCUUAUGCUCUCCAUCAACAAAGAAGUAAACAGUAGGGAAACCCUGCACGUCAUACUCUUGCGCCAGCUCAUUCUCCUCCGUGGCGUCCACCUU
rnacentral:lncRNA from 1 species